rnacentral:rRNA from 1 species
UCCUAGCGGCGGACGGGUGAGUAACGCGUGGGAACGUGCCCCUUGGUACGGAAUAGUCCCGGGAAACUGGGUUUAAUACCGUAUAUCCUCUGCGGAGGAAAGAAUUUCGCCAAGGGAUCGGCCCGCGUUGGAUUAGGUAGUUGGUGGGGUAAUGGCCUACCAAGCCCGCGAUCCAUAGCUGGUUUGAGAGGAUGAUCAGCCACACUGGGACUGAGACACGGCCCAGACUCCUACGGGAGGCAGCAGUGGGGAAUCUUAGACAAUGGGGGAAACCCUGAUCUAGCCAUGCCGCGUGAGCGAUGAAGGCCUUAGGGUUGUAAAGCUCUUUCGCUGGGGAAGAUAAUGACGGUACCCAGUAAAGAAGCCCCGGCUAACUCCGUGCCAGCAGCCGCGGUAAUACGGAGGGGGCUAGCGUUGUUCGGAAUUACUGGGCGUAAAGCGCGCGUAGGCGGAUUGGAAAGUUGGGGGUGAAAUCCCGGGGCUCAACCCCGGAACUGCCUCCAAAACUAUCAGUCUUGAGUUCGAGAGAGGUGAGUGGAAUUGCGAGUGUAGAGGUGAAAU